UUAGCUAUAGGUGUAACGCAUACGCAUGCGAAUGGUGCGAAUGCGUAUGCACAUGCGAAUGUGGCGAAUGAAUUCGCGAGUUUUACGCGACCCUAAACGCGACCAGGUGACUUUUAACGCGAGCGUAUCGCCAAACGCAAGGGAUAGUGAAUGGCAUACGCGACUGCGAAUCCUGCGAAUGUAUGUGCUACCAUUUGAAUUUUACGCGAGUGACUGCGACUUGCGUGCGGGACUGCGAACUGUACGGCCAACCGUGCAAUACAAAAGCUUUACAAUAGCAGUACACGAGCUGUACAAUAUGCAAAGUGCACCGCCGUUGCACAUGACCUGCAGGUUCACAGCUGUGAACCACAGCACUCACUGCUUUCUUCAUACAUUUGAACUAUCCCUGAAUGACAGGUACGAAUUCAUAGCAAAUCCUAACAUGACCGAUGCAACUCAGCCAGCAACUCUUACCAUGGAAAAGGGUCCAACAGUCUAACGUCAGAAAAAAUGGACACACAAAUGUUAAGCGCAUGUAAAUGUACCACAAUACAGCCACUAUUGUCUUCUUAUUAAAGCGCUCAAUCCUCGCCUCCGCUGAUGUCAUCUUCACGAACGACGGCAUAUAUCUGCAUAUCAAAGGAUCACAACAAAUCAUUGUUUAGGCAGGAAAACAUAGUUGUGAGCAUGUUACGUACAAUGACGGCUGUAGGUGUAACACCGGCGUAACGUGCCACGAAAUAAGGCAAUAAAAAGCAUUUAGUUAAUAGCCAUGGUCUUGCAACCAGAGGCUUCAUACCUCCGAACGGCCGCUUCGUGGCCUGCCACGUCCCGUUUGAGCCCGACUCUUGUUCAUAUCCUUACCACCAUCCUUGCGCUUGUCCUAUUCCUUGCGAUUCUCCUGCUCGUGUCCUUGGAAUGUAAAAUGACAAGGCAUAAUGUCAGUGUAUGCACCUGCAUGAUGGCCACUUACUGCCGGUGGCGUCUAGUCCCCCUUUUCCUGCUUUCCCCUGCUUGCCUGCGAAUGAAUGCUGCGCCAUUAUAAAGACAGAUUCUUGUUAAGCAGCCCCUCGCACAAAUGUGUCCGGUCGUACUUCGCGAAUAAAAGGUCCGUACAUCACGCCCCAAAAGCCAGGAGCGAAUUUCACCGCGCGGGUGCGCGCGUGCGAUUCGCAAAAUGCGCGUGUACAAGUGUAUAUAAAUUUUCUUAGAAGAAAGGCCGCGGUGCGUCAGCGCGGUGCGCAGGAAGGCAUGCUGGCCACAGGCGCACGCGGCAUGCAGGCUGGACUAUUGCAUGGCUGCUUUGCAGUAACUGAAAGCACCGAAAGCCUACGUCGUAGCUUGCAAGACUGGGCUCGUGAAACUGCCGCGGGAAGAGGAAGCGUCUGGCGAAGAGGCAGUUGUAUGCAGCACCUUGUUCAGAGUAAAGUCAAAUUACAAAGUUGCGCAAAGUAUAACAUACAUCAACUUAAUUAAACAUAAGAACAGAUAAGACGUGUAGAGCCUUGUCGGUGACAUGGACGCCGCUGUUGGCUUGGAACAGCUAUUUGCUGUGCAUAGGGACGUGCCCGCGUUAGCCGUGUUGCAACAGCUCAGGAUGGAUUUCAGCCAACAAAGCCUCANNNNNNNNNNNNNNNNNNNNNNNNNNNNNNNNNNNNNNNNNNNNNNNNNNCGCGAGCGUAUCGCCAAACGCAAGGGAUAGUGAAUGGCAUACGCGACUGCGAAUCCUGCGAAUGUAUGUGCUACCAUUUGAAUUUUACGCGAGUGACUGCGACUUGCGUGCGGGACUGCGAACUGUACGGCCAACCGUGCAAUACAAAAGCUUUACAAUAGCAGUACACGAGCUGUACAAUAUGCAAAGUGCACCGCCGUUGCACAUGACCUGCAGGUUCACAGCUGUGAACCACAGCACUCACUGCUUUCUUCAUACAUUUGAACUAUCCCUGAAUGACAGGUACGAAUUCAUAGCAAAUCCUAACAUGACCGAUGCAACUCAGCCAGCAACUCUUACCAUGGAAAAGGGUCCAACAGUCUAACGUCAGAAAAAAUGGACACACAAAUGUUAAGCGCAUGUAAAUGUACCACAAUACAGCCACUAUUGUCUUCUUAUUAAAGCGCUCAAUCCUCGCCUCCGCUGAUGUCAUCUUCACGAACGACGGCAUAUAUCUGCAUAUCAAAGGAUCACAACAAAUCAUUGUUUAGGCAGGAAAACAUAGUUGUGAGCAUGUUACGUACAAUGACGGCUGUAGGUGUAACACCGGCGUAACGUGCCACGAAAUAAGGCAAUAAAAAGCAUUUAGUUAAUAGCCAUGGUCUUGCAACCAGAGGCUUCAUACCUCCGAACGGCCGCUUCGUGGCCUGCCACGUCCCGUUUGAGCCCGACUCUUGUUCAUAUCCUUACCACCAUCCUUGCGCUUGUCCUAUUCCUUGCGAUUCUCCUGCUCGUGUCCUUGGAAUGUAAAAUGACAAGGCAUAAUGUCAGUGUAUGCACCUGCAUGAUGGCCACUUACUGCCGGUGGCGUCUAGUCCCCCUUUUCCUGCUUUCCCCUGCUUGCCUGCGAAUGAAUGCUGCGCCAUUAUAAAGACAGAUUCUUGUUAAGCAGCCCCUCGCACAAAUGUGUCCGGUCGUACUUCGCGAAUAAAAGGUCCGUACAUCACGCCCCAAAAGCCAGGAGCGAAUUUCACCGCGCGGGUGCGCGCGUGCGAUUCGCAAAAUGCGCGUGUACAAGUGUAUAUAAAUUUUCUUAGAAGAAAGGCCNNNNNNNNNNNNNNNNNNNNNNNNNNNNNNNNNNNNNNNNNNNNNNNNNNGGCUCGUGAAACUGCGCGGGAAGAGGUGCGUCUGGCGAAGAGGCAGUUGUAUGCAGCACCUUGUUCAGAGUAAAGUCAAAUUACAAAGUUGCGCAAGGUAUAACAUACAUCAACUUAAUUAAACAUAAGAACAGAUAAGACGUGUAGAGCCUUGUCGGUGACAUGGACGCCGCUGUUGGCUUGGAACAGCUAUUUGCUGUGCAUAGGGACGUGCCCGCGUUAGCCGUGUUGCAACAGCUCAGGAUGGAUUUCAGCCAACAAAGCCUCAAGAGCAACGUACGCAAUGCGCACAGAAACCAUUCUGUAACAUCGCCAACAUAUCCGGUACGCGGUGGCAGGCUUGCCGAGCACGAAAUGAACAGCCUCAAGAGCUGCUGCACAACCACCGGGAAUGUCUUCAGUUGGGCACGUGUAGUUUUGGUCGGCGGGGUCGAGCAACGUACGCAAUGCGCACAGAAACCAAGGUGCAGCGUUCUGUAACAUCGCCAACAUAUCCGGUACACGGUGGCAGGCUUGCCGAGCACGAAAUGAAGGGGGGGUCGCAUCUCACCAUUCAACUAAGUAUGCAUGUGCUCGGUUGAAUGCUCGGUAGCGUGCGAGUUUACCCCUAUCAGGAUGUUUGUUUGCAUAUCCCUCCAAGCGAGAGGGCUUGGACCUAUGCUGAUGUUCGUUCCAAGAAGUGAACUGAGGACUGAUGCUACGGUGAAAGAUUUGCACGUAAAUUCGCCCGUGCAAUAAAACGCCCUGUAACUCGCUUACGCUAAUCUCACAUUCCAAUAUGCCACUGCACUUUCACUCCAGCCUGGCCACAUUCUCUUCCUCGCAAACGUACUUGGGCACCUUACAAUCCAACACCAUACGUGCUUUGGAAACGCGGGCAGCUGCUUCACAUUUUUUUAUGAAGAUGCUAAUUCAUUAGGCUUUACCGUACACUGUCGUCAUUGGAGGAUCAGCGUGAGUAUAAGCAAUGCAUACGCGCUAAACAACAAAUUCAAGAUAAUCUUAUUAGUGCAAUGCGCGCAAUGAAUUACUGCCCUGAGGACACGGGCAGCACUGGGCCUUACGUUCAACUUACUCCCAAC
rnacentral:lncRNA from 1 species